rnacentral:rRNA from 1 species
UGGGCUUGACAUGCUAGGAUUAUCCUCGUGAAAGCGAGGUAGGCCCCGCAAGGGGUACAACUAGUACAGGUGCUGCAUGGCUGUCGUCAGCUCGUGUCGUGAGAUGUCGGGUUAAGUCCCUUAACGAGCGAAACCUUUGCCCUUAGUUACCACCGGGUCAUGCCGGGGACUCUAAGGGGACUGCCGGUGUCAAACCGGAGGAAGGUGGAGAUGACGUCAAGUCCUCAUGGCCUUUAUGCCCAGGGCCACACACG